CAUUUUUCUGAAUUCUCAUCAGCUAAAAACACCAUGGAAGGGCUUCUUCAAGCUGGUUCUUCAUAUUUUUAUUACAAUUGCUCCGACAACGAAUGUGAUGUCUCGUACUCGAACUCAACGAUCGAAUUAGGUAUGGGAUGUUACAUUUAGUGGUACGCAGUGGCGAAUCCAGAAAAUCUUUUAGCAAUGACUGAUAUUUAAUUAUAAUUUUUCCAUAGAUCCAAAUAUAAGUUUAUUAUGUAUUAAUUUAUAAUUUUAUUAUUUUUAAGAGAUUAAACAGAAACUUUUUUAUUUUUUGGUAGAUUAAAGUGGAAUUUUUAUUAUAUAUUAAUUUAUAAUAUAUUUUAUUUAUUUCAUUUUUGGGAUACCAAGAACUUGUUCCCCUCAAUUUUGUAGGAGGAACAAAACCAUAGUCUUUCAUAAUAUAAAGCACAAUAAAAAUACACGAAAUAGCGACUGUAACCACCCAGGGCCAGGAGUUAUUUUGUUUAUGGAAAAUUAUAAAGCACUAACUGGCAGGGGGAAAGUGAACAUUGUUGGUGAGAGGGUCUCUACAUCCACCGGCAACUCUGGUGGGGCAGCUUUGAACCACCGAAGGUGGCGUUUUAUUGGUCCUUGUGAGGCAGAAACGGAUCUCUCUCAGAUAAAGUGCGCCUCCUGUUCGUUGACUGCAUGAGAUUUGAGGAUAGGCUCCCACGUUCUUGUACACGUUUUGUAGCAAUGUGUUUAAAAGAUAGGGAGUGUUUGAUGGUUGAACUCCCAAAGCUGCAAUUUCAACAAUGAAAAGGGAAAACAAUAAUCAAUCACUUAAUGUUGUUAAUUUAUGGGGUUUAAUCAUUCUUUUCAUAAGGGGCCUUAUGAAUAAAUUUUUGAAAUAAGAAAUUAUAUAAUACAACUAGAACAGGGGUAAGUAUAGUGUAAUUGAAUUUACCUCGUUUUAAAAUUAAUAGUAAUAAUAAUUACCUUUGAAAGGGUCGAAUUUGGUGGAAGUUGCAAGAUUUAAGGUAUCAUUAAAAUAACUCAAAGGAUCUUGAGGAUAAUCAGAGCACAUCCCAUGGUUUUGCCAUUCA